GACGUAGGGCGCGAGCGUUGUCCGGAUUUAUUGGGCGUAAAGAGCUCGUAGGCGGCUUGUUGCGUCGACCGUGAAAACCCGGGGCUUAACUUCGGGCCUGCGAUCGAUACGGGCAGGCUAGAGUUCGGUAGGGGAGACUGGAAUUCCUGGUGUAGCGGUGAAAUGCGCAGAUAUCAGGAGGAACACCGGUGGCGAAGGCGGGUCUCUGGGCCGAUACUGACGCUGAGGAGCGAAAGCGUGGGGAGCGAACAGG
rnacentral:rRNA from 1 species